rnacentral:rRNA from 1 species
AAUAUUUUUGGUGACUCAUAAUAACUUUACGGAUCACAUUAUGUGACAUAUCAUUCAAGUUUCUGACCUAUCAGCUUUAGACGGUAGGGUAUUGGCCUACCGUGGCUAUGACGGGUAACGGGGAAUUAGGGUUCGAUUCCGGAGAGGGAGCCUGAGAAACGGCUACCACAUCUAAGGAAGGCAGCAGGCGCGCAAAUUACCCAAUCCUAAUACAGGGAGGUAGUGACAAGAAAUAACAAUACAGAACCUUACGGUUUUGUAAUUGGAAUGAGUUAAGUAUAAACCCCUUAACAAGUAUCAAUUGGAGGGCAAGUCUGGUGCCAGCAGCCGCGGUAAUUCCAGCUCCAAUAGCGUAUAUUAAAGUUGUUGCAGUUAAAAAGCUCGUAGUUAAUCUUCUGUUAAUUUUUAUAUAUAAUAUCUCGAUAUUUAUAUAAUAUUAACAUAAUUCAUAUUACUUUUUAGUAUAUGAAACUUUACUUUGAGAAAAUUAGAGUGCUUAAAGCAGGCUAUUGCCUUGAAUACUCCAGCAUGGAAUAAUAUUAAGGAUUUUUAUUCUUCUUAUUGGUUCUAGAAUAAAAAUGAUGAUUAAUAGGAACAGUUGGGGGCAUUUGUAUUUAACAGUCAGAGGUGAAAUUCUUAGAUUUGUUAAAGACAAACUACUGCGAAAGCAUUUGCCAAGGAUGUUUUCAUUAAUCAAGAACGAAAGUUAGGGGAUCGAAGACGAUCAGAUACCGUCGUAGUCUUAACCAUAAACUAUGCCAACU